rnacentral:rRNA from 1 species
UGGGGAAUUUUGCACAAUGGGGGAAACCCUGAUGCAGCGACGCCGCGUGUACGAUGAAGAUCUUCGGAUUGUAAAGUACUGUCCUUGGUGAAGAUAAUGACUGUAACCAAGAAGCAAGCCCUGGCUAAAUACGUGCCAGCAGCCGCGGUAAUACGUAUGGGGCAAGCGUUGUCCGGAAUUAUUGGGCGUAAAGGGUACGUAGGCGGUUAGUUAAGUCUAAAUUAAAAGGCAUUGGCUCAACCAAUGUAAGGUUUAGAUACUGGGUAACUUGAGUAGAUGAGGGGAAAGUGGAAUUCCAUGUGUAGCGGUGAAAUGCGUAGAUAUAUGGAGGAACACCAAUGGCGAAGGCAACUUUCUGGAAUCAAACUGACGCUGAGGUACGAAGGCGUGGGGAGCAAACAGG